AGUUAAUGAACUUGUAUAGUAUAUAUUUUGAAAAUAUAAAAAAGAAAUUAUAAUUUUCUAUUAACUU
rnacentral:tRNA from 1 species